rnacentral:rRNA from 1 species
UUGACCUCAAAUCAGGUAGGACUACCCGCUGAACUUAAGCAUAUCAAUAAGCGGAGGAAAAGAAACUAACAAGGAUUCCCCUAGUAACUGCGAGUGAAGAGGGAAAAGCUCAAAUUUAAAAUCUGGCUUCCUUAGGUUGUCCGAGUUGUAAUCUAGAGAAGCGUCAUCCGCGUUGGACCGUGUACAAGUCUCCUGGAACGGAGCGUCAUAGAGGGUGAGAAUCCCGUCUUUGACACGGACUACCAGGGCUUUGUGAUGCGCUCUCAAAGAGUCGAGUUGUUUGGGAAUGCAGCUCAAAAUGGGUGGUAAAUUCCAUCUAAAGCUAAAUAUUGGCGAGAGACCGAUAGCGAACAAGUACCGUGAGGGAAAGAUGAAAAGAACUUUGGAAAGAGAGUUAAACAGUACGUGAAAUUGCUGAAAGGGAAACGCUUGAAGUCAGUCGCGUUGGUCGAGAAUCAGCCUUGCUUUUGCAUGGCUUAUUUCGCGGCUCAACGGGUCAGCAUCAAUUUUGAUCAUUGGAUAAAGAUGAGAGGAAUGUGGCAUCUUCGGAUGUGUUAUAGCCUCUUGUUGCAUGCAGUGGUUGGGAUUGAGGAACUCAGCA